UACGUAGGGCGCAAGCGUGUCCGGAAUUAUUGGGCGUAAAGAGCUCGUAGGCGGUCUGUUACGUCCGCUGUGAAAACCCAGGGCUUAACCCUGGGCUUGCAGUGGAUACGGGCAGACUAGAGGUAGGUAGGGGAGAAUGGAAUUCCCGGUGUAGCGGUGAAAUGCGCAGAUAUCGGGAGGAACACCGGUGGCGAAGGCGGUUCUCUGGGCCUUACCUGACGCUGAGGAGCGAAAGCGUGGGGAGCGAACAGG
rnacentral:rRNA from 1 species